rnacentral:rRNA from 1 species
UACAGAGGUGGCAAGCGUUGUUCGGAAUUACUGGGCGUAAAGGGCGCGUAGGCGGCCUUCUUAGUCGGACGUGAAAUCCCCAGGCUUAACUUGGGAACUGCGUCCGAUACUGGGAGGCUUGAGUGCGGGAGAGGGAUGUGGAAUUCCAGGUGUAGCGGAGAAAUGCGUAGAUAUCUGGAAGAACACCCGUGGCGAAGGCGGCUCUCUGGGACGGUACUGACGCUGAGACGCGAAAGCGUGGGGAGCGAACAGG